ACACAUGCAAGUCGAACGAAGCACCUUGAUUUGAUUCUUCGGAUGAAGAUCUUGGUGACUGAGUGGCGGACGGGUGAGUAACGCGUGGGUAACCUGCCUCAUACAGGGGGAUAACAGUUAGAAAUGACUGCUAAUACCGCAUAAGACCACAGCACCGCAUGGUGCAGGGGUAAAAACUCCGGUGGUAUGAGAUGGACCCGCGUCUGAUUAGGUAGUUGGUGGGGUAACGGCCUACCAAGCCGACGAUCAGUAGCCGACCUGAGAGGGUGACCGGCCACAUUGGGACUGAGACACGGCCCAAACUCCUACGGGAGGCAGCAGUGGGGAAUAUUGCACAAUGGGGGAAACCCUGAUGCAGCGACGCCGCGUGAGCGAUGAAGUAUUUCGGUAUGUAAAGCUCUAUCAGCAGGGAAGAAAAUGACGGUACCUGACUAAGAAGCACCGGCUAAAUACGUGCCAGCAGCCGCGGUAAUACGUAUGGUGCAAGCGUUAUCCGGAUUUACUGGGUGUAAAGGGAGCGUAGACGGAGUGGCAAGUCUGAUGUGAAAACCCGGGGCUCAACCCCGGGACUGCAUUGGAAACUGUCAAUCUAGAGUACCGGAGAGGUAAGCGGAAUUCCUAGUGUAGCGGUGAAAUGCGUAGAUAUUAGGAGGAACACCAGUGGCGAAGGCGGCUUACUGGACGGUAACUGACGUUGAGGCUCG
rnacentral:rRNA from 1 species